GAUUUUCCGGUUGAUCCUGCCGGACCCGACUGCUAUCAGAGUGGGACUAAGCCAUGCGAGUCAACAUAGCAAUAUGUGGCAUACGGCUCAGUAACACGUAGUCAACAUGCCCAGGGGACGUGGAUAACCUCGGGAAACUGAGGAUAAACCGCGAUAGGUCAUCACUUCUGGAAUGGGUAAUGACUUAAACCUAUAUGGCCCCUGGAUUGGACUGCGGCCGAUCAGGCUGUUGGUGAGGUAAUGGCCCACCAAACCUGUAACCGGUGCGGGCUCUGAGAGGAGGAGCCCGGAGAUGGGCACUGAGACAAGGGCCCAGGCCCUAUGGGGCGCAGCAGGCGCGAAACCUCUGCAAUAGGCGAAAGCUUGACAGGGUUACUCUGAGUGAUUUCCGUUAAGGAGAUCUUUUGGCACCUCUAAAAAUGGUGCAGAAUAAGGGGUGGGCAAGUCUGGUGUCAGCCGCCGCGGUAAUACCAGCACCCCGAGUGGUCGGGACGUUUAUUGGGCCUAAAGCAUCCGUAGCCGGUUCUACAAGUCUUCCGUUAAAUCCACCUGCUUAACAGAUGGGCUGCGGAAGAUACUAUAGAGCUAGGAGGCGGGAGAGGCAAGCGGUACUCGAUGGGUAGGGGUAAAAUCCGUUGAUCCAUUGAAGACCACCAGUGGCGAAGGCGGCUUGCCAGAACGCGCUCGACGGUGAGGGAUGAAAGCUGGGGGAGCAAACCGGAUUAGAUACCCGGGUAGUCCCAGCUGUAAACGAUGCAGACUCGGUGAUGAGUUGGCUUAUUGCUAACUCAGUGCCGCAGGGAAGCCGUUAAGUUUGCCGCCUGGGGAGUACGGUCGCAAGACUGAAACUUAAAGGAAUUGGC
rnacentral:rRNA from 1 species